rnacentral:rRNA from 1 species
GACGUAGGGUGCGAGCGUUGUCCGGAUUUAUUGGGCGUAAAGAGCUCGUAGGCGGCUCGUCGCGUCGACCGUGAAAACCCGCGGCUUAACUGCGGGCUUGCGGUUGAUACGGGCGGGCUAGAGUUCGGUAGGGGAGACUGGAAUUCCUGGUGUAGCGGUGAAAUGCGUAGAUAUUGGGAGGAACACCGGUGGCGAAGGCGGCUACCUGGACCGGUUCUGACGCUGAUGCGCGAAAGCGUGGGUAGCAAACAGG